UACGUAGGGGGCUAGCGUUGUCCGGAAUCAUUGGGCGUAAAGAGCGCGUAGGCGGCCAGAUAAGUCCGGUGUGAAAGUCAAAGGCUCAACCUUUGAAUGCCGCUGGAAACUGUCUGGCUAGAGUCCGGAAGGGGCGAGUGGAAUUCCUGGUGUAGCGGUGAAAUGCGCAGAUAUCAGGAGGAACACCUAUGGCGAAGGCAGCUCGCUGGGACGGUACUGACGCUGAGGCGCGAAAGCGUGGGGAGCGAACAGG
rnacentral:rRNA from 1 species